GCUCUCCUUCUCCAUCCUUGCUGCCACCAAAUGGCAGCUUAUCCUUUAUCUUGUCCAUUACACCCUUCUCCUGGUGGUGCUCGCCUUCUCCUGCAUAGGUGGUCCCACCGCCGUACUGUGCACCGGUGGUCGGCUUUGCAUGCAAGUACUGGUCAUCCUUGCUAGCACCGCCUGGCAGCUUCUCCUUUACCUUGUCCGUCACACCCUUUUUCUGGUGGUGCUCUCCUUCUCCUGCAUAGGUGGUCCCACCGCCGUAAUGUGCACCGGUGGUCGGCUUUGCAUGCGAGUACUGGUCAUCCUUGCUAGCACCGCCUGGCAGCUGCUCCUUCACCUUGUCCAUCACACCCUUCUUCUGGUCGCGCUCUCCUUCUCCUGCAUAGGUGGUCCCACCACCAUAAGGUGUAGCGGUCUGCGUUCCAUGAGAGUACUGGUCAUCCUUGUUACCACCACCUGGCAGCUUCUCCUUUACCUUGUCCAUCACACCCCUUUUCUGGUGGUGCUCUCCUUCACCUGUGUAGGUCGUCCCACCGCCGUAAGGUGUAGUGGUCUGCGUUCCAUGAGUGUACUGGUCAUCUUUGUUACCACCACCUGGUAGCUUCUCCUUUAUCUUUUCUUUUAGUCCCUUCUUCCUUCUUCCACCUAGCCCAUCAUCUUCAGACUACAAUAAUAGAAUGUUAGACCUUGUUACAAAAAAUAUAUGUAAAUAUAAUGCACAUAUCAUACUUAUAACCCUAAGAAAUUGUUCCAUCUGGUAAGAUAACAUGUUGAUGUAAUAUUUGAAUUUGAAACAUUGAUCGUGUUGAUAAUUGAAAAAACAAAAUGCGCAGAGAUGCAUAAAUCUAACAAGGGAACAAAAUACACUAAUUUUCCGAACAAUAUUCUUCAAGAUACGAAUUUGUAAUAUGUUAUUAAUUUAGAUCACUAAUGAGCCCAUCGUUGGUGCGCGCAAUUUUUCUUGCAAAAAUGUUAAAUUUGACAAUAGAAAAUUAUUACUUCUUUGAUUUUUCUAGCAACAUAAGUACCUCUUACAAGAAAAGUUUAUUCAUAGUACGCAUAGAUUUGUAGCAUAUCUCAUGCAUCUAAUGAAUUAACUUAGAACUACAUUUAUAUAGAGGUGAAAAGAGGAGAACUUAC
rnacentral:lncRNA from 1 species